GGGGUUGUGGCUCGGCGAUAGGGCGCUCACCUAGCAUGUGUGAGGCCCUGGGUUCGAUCCUCAGCACCACA
rnacentral:tRNA from 1 species